CCGUAGUAGGGCAGCGCCCCCCCUCGGGCGCGGCUCUUUUACACACCCACCCCCUGCCUAUGCGUACCUCGAAUCAGCUUCCUCGGCGGGCUCGCCCGCCGCCAGGAGCCCCAUCCACCCCUUGCAUGCUAACACGAAAACUUCUGAUUGUAACCACAAAAUUAUCAA
rnacentral:misc_RNA from 1 species